rnacentral:snRNA from 1 species
AUAUCUUUCUCAGACUUUUGGCUAAGAUAAAGUGUAAUAUUUAUUAUUAUCAAUUUAAUAUCUGAUAUAUGGACGUUACGUGUGAAGCGUGUAGGUUUAUUUCUCUUCCGCUUCUCAUCUACCAAUUGACCCAAA